AUCCAGUGUACAAAUACAGUUAUGCACAAGACAUGCAGUAUUGGAUUUGUACACUGGAUCCCAGGCUAGAACCAACUGGGAAAAGGCCAGACAAGGCUUGGUGGGUGAAGCUGUGUAACCGAGUAACACACAUCUGUUUGAAGAGUAACUGGAGCCUGCGCAGUGAGGUGUCUCAGAUGCUGGG